GGUGAGUAACACGUGGGUAACCUACCUAUAAGACUGGGAUAACUUCGGGAAACCGGAGCUAAUACCGGAUAAUAUAUUGAACCGCAUGGUUCAAUAGUGAAAGACGGUUUUGCUGUCACUUAUAGAUGGAUCCGCGCCGCAUUAGCUAGUUGGUAAGGUAACGGCUUACCAAGGCAACGAUGCGUAGCCGACCUGAGAGGGUGAUCGGCCACACUGGAACUGAGACACGGUCCAG
rnacentral:rRNA from 1 species